rnacentral:rRNA from 1 species
CCUGGCUCAGGAUGAACGCUAGCGGCAGGCCUAACACAUGCAAGUCGAGGGGCAGCGGGUAAGUAGCUUGCUACUUAUGCCGGCGACCGGCGGACGGGUGCGUAACGCGUAUGUAACCUACCUUUGACAGGGGGAUAACAUCGAGAAAUUGGUACUAAUACCCCAUAACAUCACCGGAGGCAUCUUCGGUGGUUGAAAACUCAGGUGGUCAGAGAUGGACAUGCGUUGUAUUAGCUAGUUGGUGAGGUAACGGCUCACCAAGGCGACGAUACGAUAGGGGGACUGAGAGGUCAACCCCCCACAUUGGUACUGAGACACGGACCAAACUCCUAUGGGAGGCAGCAGUGAGGAAUAUUGGUCAAUGGACGCAAGUCUGAACCAGCCAUGCCGCGUGCAGGAAGACGGCUCUAUGAGUUGUAAACUGCUUUUGUACGAGGGUAAAUCCCGAUACGUGUAUCGGGUUGAAAGUAUCGUACGAAUAAGGAUCGGCUAACUCCGUG